GACGAACCGUGCGAACGUUGUUCGGAAUCACUGGGCUUAAAGGGCGCGUAGGCGGGCUCACAAGUCAGGGGUGAAAUCCCACGGCUCAACCGUGGAAGUGCCUUUGAUACUGUGGGUCUUGAGGGAGGUAGGGGCGUGCGGAACUUCCGGUGGAGCGGUGAAAUGCGUAGAUAGUCGGAAGGAACACCGGUGGCGAAAGCGGCGCGCUGGACCUCUACUGACGCUGAGGCGCGAAAGCCAGGGGAGCAAAGCGGG
rnacentral:rRNA from 1 species